UUUUGUUCUCAAUGUAGUAUUUCCCUCCCUCUCAACCACCACCCCCCCACCCCCCCCACAACCUCCCCCAGAAAAGUAUCAUUUCUUAGAUCACUGCCUUUCAUUUUUGAGUGACCAAGAUCCAUUUUGAUUCAUUCUAGUCAUAAUGCUGUAAGAAAUUAUAGAUAUCAUAAUAUAAAUUUAACGUCUGAGUUUGCUUCGCUUCAUCGCUAAUGUCUCUAGAUUCAAUGGCAUCUAUAUGUGGUUUGCACUUUUCUUAGUCAAAAAGAAUGAUUGCAUAUCAGGGAGCUAGGUGAAUCUCUCUGUACCCUUGUAGAGCAUUUUCUAUUCUUCUUCCCUUUUUUAUUUUAAUAAAAAAAAAGUUGUUCUCUCCUUUUGUUUUAGGGGCACUGGGAAAUAUUUCAAUCAUUUGUUUUUGGUAGGAAGGAUGCCUAUUUAUAUGGUCCUAGAGUUAGAGGUUCAGCGUGUGGAAACAAAAGGUGUGUUAUUUAAACCUCUCAAACUUUUAGGGGUGUGUGAUGAUGAGUAAAGAGUUUCAGGCGGAUCUGUCAGGGACACGACUCUAUGUUUUAGAUGCACAACACUAUUAAAUAUCAGACGCAUUUUUUUGUGUCAAUGAACCGAUUGACACCUCUUUUUAUUUCCAACGGAGAUGUCCAGGAUACAAAUCCCCCCACCCCAACUAUCGAUUUAUUAAAAAAAAGUUAAGAAAAAUAAAAAAACAGAACUGAUGAGAUUCACCAGAAUUGAACCCAGGAUGCUUGAGGUUCCUUUUGUGUGUGUGUGUCUAUAUAUUUUUGGGGGGGGGGGGGGGGAUGGUGGUGCUGCGAAUCCUUUUAUUUUUUUGGUUAAUCUCUGAUCUGAAGUUAGUGGCUUUGCUUUCAUUCUGGAGGUUUUACAUGUCAAGGUUUUUAAAAUGGUGACUUUAUGGUAAUGGAAGCCAUCAAGGUGCUGAAUUGUAGGAGCUAAGGUUACCAUUGCUAUGUGCCUACUGUGAGUAAACAGGUACAUGCACUGCACGGCUUGAAGGAAGAAGACCCCCCCGCACCCCCCACCCCCCCCUCCCCUUUCUAUUACUAUAAAUAAUAGCAGAAGCUUAUACUCAAAUCACUCUGUUAAUACAUUUGACAUUUAUUUUGUUCCGAACCAGCUAAGUUUAAAUCUCAAAUACACCCUAUAAUACAACUCCCAAAGGACAUCGACCUGACACAA